rnacentral:rRNA from 1 species
GGGAAUCUACCCUGAACUGCGGAAUAGCUCCGGGAAACUGGAAUUAAUACCGCAUGUGCCCUGAGGGGCAAAGAUUUAUCGGUUCAGGAUGGGCCCGCGUCCGAUUAGCUAGUUGGUGGGGUAAAGGCCUACCAAGGCGACGAUCGGUAGCUGGUCUAAGAGGAUGAUCAGCCACAUUGGGACUGAGACACGGCCCAAACUCCUACGGGAGGCAGCAGUGGGGAAUAUUGGACAAUGGGCGCAAGCCUGAUCCAGCCAUGCCGCGUGAGUGAUGAAGGCCCUAGGGUUGUAAAGCUCUUUCAGUGGGGACGAUAAUGACGGUACCCACAGAAGAAGCCCCGGCUAACUUCGUGCCAGCAGCCGCGGUAAUACGAAGGGGGCUAGCGUUGUUCGGAAUUACUGGGCGUAAAGCGCACGUAGGCGGACAUUUAAGUCAGGGGUGAAAUCUCGGGGCUCAACCCCGGAACUGCCUUUGAUACUGGGUGUCUUGAGUCCGGAAGAGGUGAGUGGAAUUGCGAGU